CCACGCGAGUGAUGACGUCACUGCAAUCUGUUCGCCCCCCUGUGCCGAGUGCGGGCCUGACUCCCCGCGGCCAGGGAGCACGCGCCUGCAGCCUGGCCGUGGGUUAGUCACGUCACCCACGGCAUCAGCCGGUGUUGCUUGGUGCCCUGCUAGAGAAGCGACCCUGCAGGCCACCGUAUUACUAUGCAUGGAAGGAGCGCUUCAACUUGAUUUGCCGUCAUCAGCAAAAAAGAAGAGGUUCUGUGGUAUUGAUUAUCAGCUCUGUUUGUUACACCAAAAGAGUUGUAAUGAGGCACUGGUUAUGAUGUCCGCAUGCAGCCAGAAGUUACUGAAAUCCAUCCACAAAUGGCAUCAAUGGAGAGACAAAGAGUACUGACUAGUAAAUGAAUCUUUGGAGAAUACUAGUGUGGAGGACCUGGUUAAACACAAUGCAUGGGGCUGUAAUUAGUGCAUCCAAACACUGAAUUGACAAGGUUGGAGAAGAAGUACAUUGAGCACCAGAAAAAGUUGAAGAUGCUGGGACAAGUGCCAGCUGUGGGUGAGUCUUUGCAGCUCUUUAGUCAGUCUGUUAGGAUUGCUAAUUGGAAUUUGCACCUCGCAGUGCUAGAAGACUUAGCCCUGGUCUACACUAUGGGGUUAAGUCAAAUGUAGCUACGUUAGGUCGAUUUAAAAAUGACUGCGUCCAAACAACCAACCCUGUUCCGUUGACCUAAAGGGGUCUUAAAAUCGACUUCUGUACUCCUCCCCGACGAGGCUCCUAGAGCUGGGCAGGGAAGACGUUCCCAGAACCCCCGACCAAGCUACAUGUCCGAUGAGGACAGCUAGCAGUCCUACUGCACCGUCUGCUUCAAAGGCACCCAGGAGCUGCUGCUGUGUAGCAAUGCCAGCUGCUGCAAGUGCUUCUGUGUCGAAAGCUUGGAGGUCCUGGUAGGGCAAGGUACCUCGGCCACGGCAAAAGAGCAAGAGCCCUGGAGCUGUUACAUGUGUCAACCACAGAAGUGCUAUGGGGUGUUACAGCGCCAACCAGACUGGAAUGGAUGGCUGCAAGACUUCUUCACCAGCGGCAAAGGACAGGAAUAUGAUGCACCUAAAAUCUAAAAAGGCCUGCACAUUUCCUAGAGUCACUACCCUUGAUAAAAGAACGUUAAUGAUUGCGUUGGCUACUUGGAUCACAGCAGCCCCCACAAUAGACUUGCCCACAACAGCAACGGUGACAGUGAGCUGAGAGGGCUUUAUACUUGCUGUGGAAUGGCGUUUUCACAGGUAACCCAGGAAAAAAGGCGCGAAACAAUUAUCUGCCAUUGCUUUCACGGAGAGAGGGGCGGCUGAUGACAUGUACCCAAAACCACCCGCGACAAUGUUUUUGCCCCAUCGGGCAUUGGGAGCUUAACCCAGAAUGGGCGGCGGAGACUGCGGGGACUGAGGGAUAGCUACCCACAGUGCACCGCUCCAUAAGUCGAUGCUAGCCACAGUAGUGAGGACGCACUCCGCCGACUUAAUGCGCUUAGUGUGGACAUACGCAAUCGACUGUAUAAAAUUGAAUUCUAAAAAUCAACUUCUUUAAAAUUGAUCUAAUUUCGUAAUUUAGACAUACCCUUAGUGAAAUACUUUCUUGCUUCAGAUUUACCCAACUGUUCUGCACUGAUUGCCUGGUACCUUGCUGAAAUAAGAGGUGUAGAAAAGUCUGGCCCUGACAUAUGGAGGAAUUUCAAAAAGGAAAUUAGGUUGUUAAAAGGUCACUAGUUCCCUUCUGUGCUGUUGGAAUUAUCAGUAAUAUUAGAAAUUAUUAAUAUGGGAGAGUACCAGACACCAGUUUGACCAUAAAUUUGGCCCAACGGUGUUAUAUACAAUUGCUGUAAACAUGCCUGCUAAUUUAAAAAUAAGCAUGUACUACACCCAGUACAGUAACAAAUUUACUCCUGGGGAAAUUCUGCUCCACUGCACACAUGCAGAAUUCAUGUCCCCUGCAGAUUUUUUUCCCCUGCAGAAAAUACAUUCUGCCAGGGAGGUGUUGCAGUUACACCUUUCACCCACCAGGAGCUGCUGUGGUGCCAGAAGAGAGGACAGCCAGCUCAGGGUUGGAGCAGCCAGCCAUAGAGAGGGAGGGGGCAGUGUCUGCCUUCUUCAGAACGCCUUGCCCGUGGCGCCAGGUGAGGAAGCACAGAAUAUGGUGGGGAUGGACAGAAUGGGGCACAUGGGGCUGCUGGAGGGUCAUAUAGUCUGGGGUUCAGAAAGGCUAGUGAGAGGGACAGAUUGGGGUGGGGGCACAGGAGCUAGUGAGGUGACAGCCGGGGCUGAAUGGGAGUGGGGGUGCAGGGACACAGGCAAACCAGGCGGUGCAAGGACACAUGGGGAGAGA